rnacentral:rRNA from 1 species
AGGACGAACGCUGGCGGCGUGCUUAACACAUGCAAGUCGAGCGAGGCCCCGUCUUCGGGUGGGUGUCCUAGCGGCGAACGGGUGAGUAACACGUGGGCAACCUGCCCCCGGCUCUGGGAUAACUCCAAGAAAUUGGGGCUAAUACCGGAUAUGACUGCUGACCGCAUGGUCUGGUGGUGGAAAGAUUUAUCGGCUGGGGGAUGGGCCCGCGGCCUAUCAGCUUGUUGAGUGGGGUAGUCGGCCUACCAAGGCGACGACGGGUAGCCGGCCUGAGAGGGUGACCGGCCACACUGGGACUGAGACACGGCCCAGACUCCGUACGGGAGGCAGCAGUGGGGAAUAUUGCGCAAUGGGCGAAAGCCUGACGCAGCGACGCCGGCGGUGGGGAUGGACGGCCGUUCGGGUUCGGUAAACCUUCUUCAGCGAGGACGAAGGACGAAAGUGACGGUACCUGCGAAGGAAGAAGCGAACCGGACCAACGUACGUCGCCAGCCGACGCCG